CCCAAACACUAGAGACCCCUCACAGACUCGUCUCUAUCACCUUUCUCUCACCCUAGCCGUCCACCACCGCCAGAAAUCGCCCACGGCGAUGGCACCCUCUAAAUAACCCCAAAUCUCACCCUACAAUCCCCGUCUUUUCCCCAUCCCAUAUCUCCUCUCAAUUUCCUUCAAAAUACCAUAGAUUUUCCUAAUUUUCCAAUAUGAGAAAUUUCAAAACCUAAUUUUAUUUCUCUUCAAUUUCUUUAAUGAUUCUUAAUCGUUUUGACUUGAAACUGACAUUGGUUAAUUGCUCUUGUCAAGAGAAACCAAUUAAUUUAUGUUUUAUCUCAUUUCGGAACCAUCGAAAUCCGGCCAAACCUCGCUGAAAAUCGCUUCAAUUGCUUCGUCUUUCUUUCAAUAGGAUCUAAGGCAGGUACAUCUGGCUAUCAGUUUGGUGCGCACCCCUGAUUCAUAGCUUGAGACUUCCACGGUGAUCUGCCCCUUCCUGAGACGUUCAACAACUUGAUGGAGUCUUUUCUUUACAUUUGCUGUCUAUUCUAUCUCAGAUAGUAGGAUAGUUUUGUUAUUUUGUACAUUCUACUAGUUGCCCAUUACUUGUGACACCAGGUCUUGGCACACACGUUAGCAGACUAUCAUUUUGGAGUUGUAUAACUAUUUUGGCAUAUUAUUGUUCAUUUCUGAUUUGACUUGAGCUUUAUGAAUUUCUAUACUUACCUUGGGUAAAAAUAAAAUUGAGAACUAAAUUA